UACGGGAGGCAGCAGUGGGGAAUAUUGCACAAUGGGCGAAAGCCUGAUGCAGCUAUGCCGCGUGUAUGAAGAAGGCCUUAGGGUUGUAAAGUACUUUCAUCGGGGAGGAAAAACAAAACUAAUAAUUUUAUUUCUUGACGUUACCCGAAAAAGAAGCACCGGCUAACUCCGUGCCAGCAGCCGCGGUAAUACGGAGGGUGCUAGCGUUAAUCAGAAUUACUGGGCGUAAAGAGCACGUAGGUGGUUUUUUUAAGUUCAGAUGUGAAAUCCCUGGGCUUAACCUAGGAACUGCAUUUUGAAACUGAAAUACUAGAGUAUCGUAGAGGGAGGUAGAAUUCUAGGUGUAGCGGUGAAAUGCGUAGAUAUCUGGAGGAAUACCUGUGGCGAAAGCGGCCUCCUAAACGAAUACUGACACUGAGGGUGCGAAAGCGUGGGGAGCAAACAGGGAUUAGAUACC
rnacentral:rRNA from 1 species